CAGCGAGGCUGCAUUCCUCAGCCCGAAGGAGCAAGGGAGCUAGUAGAGGGCCGCCUUGAGAAGAGCUCGAAUUCCAGCCCAGGAGACUUAGCGUGUCGGAAGCCACCCCUCAGGAAGUGUGGGGUGGGGGGGCACAUACUUGGCCUCACCCUCCGUUGCCAGACCCACCUGGGAGUCAGAGGACAGCGGGGCCCUCUGGUGAGGCCUCUCCGGGCCAGUCUCCCUGGCCCGUCGCCGGGUGGGGACGGGCACAGCGUGGGUCUGGAGGGACGCACAGAGGACAUCUGGGGCAGGCUCUGGGCUCCCUGUGGAAACCGUGGGUGGACAGCAGCUGGGGGCUGCGGCUCCCCCCAGGCCCUCCCCCUGCGCCCCGGACACCGGCUCUGGAAGCUCACAGCUUUGAGUGGAGAGCAAAAUGGGUUUGCGUUUGCCAAAGUCGUCAGCUUUCGAUACCAUCUUGGAAAUGUUUCGAUUACGGACGUGGUCAAAAAAGGAUGCACAAAUAAUUUAAGAAUCAGAAGGAGUUCCUCGCACAGGAUUACCCGAAAAGAAAAGCACACGGGUAAGACAAAAAAAGAAGAAGAAGACUGGGAUUCCAGUCUCGGCCUUUCCCUGAAGCCUACAACCCAGCACGUCCACCCCGUAGCUCCAGAAUCGUGGUGCACACUGGAGGGUUUUCAUUUAUUUGCUUUACACUUACCUUCGAUUCGAUGCUGUAGAAGAGCCACGGAGAACACUCCCCUGGUCAUGGUUUACGUGCAUUUAAAACAUGAAUUAUUUUGCUGGCGUGUGACGUGUACUUAGAAGUGUGCCCACGUAAGCAGAUCGCUGAAUGACCUUUCACACCAUGGGCGUUGCUGUGGCGACACCAGGCUUGUGCAUCCUCAGUGGACGAGUCAGGCUGAGCGAUGUGCGAGGGCCUGGGUGACCGUCACCUGGAGGGUGCAGGCCAUAAAUCAGAGCGGGCUCCUUGUUCCUGGUGUACUCAGAAAAUUAUGGAUCUUCACGAGGAGAAAACUUAUCAGGGAAAGAUGCUUGCUUAGAGUUCUGGAUAGGAAAGGAAAACAAGACGGUUCAGUGGGAUGGAAUGAACAGAAGACUAUACGGGAAGAGUCACGCCGUAUUUUAUAGAAAUAGUGGCGUAUCAGCCAUUUCUGCCCAACUUCCUUUACUUAUCUGGAAGAAGCAGGAACCAUUAAAGAUGUCAUGAGCAAAUGCUGUUAAUCCCAAGGCAUGACUUGCUUGAGAGCAGAAAUGUUAACAAUUGGGGUGACUUUCGUGCAAAAAGAAGAUGUGUUUAUAGAAACUUAGCUGAAAUCUCGAGGCUGACAAUGGGCUUCAUAAAAAUGUCUCGCUCUAUUUUUGCUGCUUUAUCACCCAAAGUUCAGUACAAUGAGUCAGAAGAAAAGCACCCUGAUAUAUAGCCACUCCAUCAAGUUCACUGUCACAGAGGGCCAGGGACCGAAUGAUACUGACCAGACCUUACAAGUAUUGGAUUCUCUUAGCCCAUUAAUAAUAUUUAGGGUGUGUGGUGACCACAGAUGAAGUUAGGGUGGUGAGGCCUGUAAUAAUGAGCCUCCGUGUCUUGGCUUAUCCCACUUUCUGGUUAUAGUUUCCAUAUAUAGGGUUACAUAGUUGGCUAGCAAGCCGUGGCGGUUUGGAUGUCACAGUGGCACCGUCUGACUUCCUCGCCGGCCUUCGCUUUCUCUAAACCAGAUUCAUCCCAAGACUUAAAAACCAAAUAAAUAUUCCUUCAAGUGAUUGCUACA
rnacentral:lncRNA from 12 species